rnacentral:lncRNA from 1 species
CAGGUCCCAGUGCUCCACCAGUGCAAAUAGUGGCGGUGACAGCACAUCCACCUCAGAGAGGACAAGACAAUCAGGUUUAUGAAAAUGACGACCAGGGACCAUCCAACGCCUCCAGGCCUCAGAGCAGCGGCAGCGGCCUGUAUCCUAACUUGAACCAAUUUACCUUUGAAAGGGUGGAAAGUCAGAGAACGAGGCAGAGAUUUCAUAUAGAGCUCU